rnacentral:rRNA from 1 species
AUUGAACGCUGGCGGAAUGCUUUACACAUGCAAGUCGAACGGUAGAGGGGGCAACCCCUCGAGAGUGGCGAACGGGUGAGUAAUAUAUCGGAACGUGCCCAGUCGUGGGGGAUAACGUAGCGAAAGUUACGCUAAUACCGCAUACGAUCUAAGGAUGAAAGCGGGGGAUCGCAAGACCUCGCGCGAUUGGAGCGGCCGAUGUCAGAUUAGGUAGUUGGUGGGGUAAAGGCUCACCAAGCCAACGAUCUGUAGCUGGUCUGAGAGGACGACCAGCCACACGGGAACUGAGCCACGGUCCAGACUCCUACGGGAGGCAGCAGUGGGGAAUAUUGGACAAUGGACGCAAGUCUGAUCCAGCCAUUCCGCGUGCAGGAUGAAGGCCCUCGGGUUGUAAACUGCUUUUGUACGGAACGAAAAGGUCUCUCUUAAUACGGGGGGCUCAUGACGGUACCGUAAGAAAAAGCACCGGCUAACUACGUGCCAGCAGCCGCCGUAA